rnacentral:rRNA from 1 species
AACGAACGCUGGCGGCAGGCUUAACACAUGCAAGUCGAGCGCCCCGCAAGGGGAGCGGCAGACGGGUGAGUAACGCGUGGGAAUCUACCGUGCCCUACGGAAUAGCUCCGGGAAACUGGAAUUAAUACCGUAUACGCCCUACGGGGGAAAGAUUUAUCGGGGUAUGAUGAGCCCGCGUUGGAUUAGCUAGUUGGUGGGGUAAAGGCCUACCAAGGCGACGAUCCAUAGCUGGUCUGAGAGGAUGAUCAGCCACAUUGGGACUGAGACACGGCCCAAACUCCUACGGGAGGCAGCAGUGGGGAAUAUUGGACAAUGGGCGCAAGCCUGAUCCAGCCAUGCCGCGUGAGUGAUGAAGGCCCUAGGGUUGUAAAGCUCUUUCACCGAUGAAGAUAAUGACUGUAGUCGGAGAAGAAGCCCCGGCUAACUUCGUGCCAGCCGCCGCGGUAA